rnacentral:lncRNA from 1 species
UAUAAAAGCUUGGCUUUCCUCCUUCCUUCUCCCCCACAUUCCAGUUUUUCCCCUUAUAAUUUUACCACAAGGCAAUGCAGUCAAGCUUUUCUUGGAUCAUAUGAAUGUAGAUCAAUAAAUAUCAGUUGCAGAAUGGGAAUCUACGCAUAGGCAUGUGCUAGAAGGAUGAAAUAGUUAUGUUAGUUUAAAGGCACUUCAAAGUUUGUUUUGUUUUAUGUUUUCAGGGCACAAUGCCUAUGUUAUAUAGGUACCAAGCUGAAGUUGGAGAGGAAAGGAAAGCUCUUCCUGAAAAUGCAGUAGUGCUGGAAUGUGCUGUAGAGACUCAGAUUGUUUUUCAGCUCUAGAGGCAUGUAUGGGAAUGUAGCAACAAUGAGGAGACUUGGACCCAGCACAGAGGAGUCUGAACAACAGAAGUUUGUUGGAGACUGGCAAAUACCUGUCCUAGCAGCUAGUUGGCUGAUUUGUCUUCACUUUGGUCCAAACACAGGUUGGUAAGUUGCAGCUACACCCAGUUAGAAGCAUCAAAUUUGCUUAUAAAUCAAGGACCUCAAAGAAUUUU